GGAGGGUUUCAAGACUCGGAUGCUGACAUGUGUGUGGAGGAAGACACGAGAUCCGGCCUGGUCAACAUGCAAGAGGAAACCUCGACCCUCGGUGAAGAAACCAUGUGCACCAAGACAGUGUCAGAGCAGUUGCCGGGACAUGUCCAGGUACUGCAGCAUUGUUGGCAUGUUGAAGAUGUGCCGUGUGCGAGACUUCCGACAGAGGUGCUGCCACACAUGUCGAACGUACAACACAACCAAACCUAAACGCCAGACAUCAGCAAUCGAAACACUCUUCCAUUUGGGAAAUCAACAGAUUGUCUAACUAUAUUGGAAAAUUGUCACCAACAAGAAUGUCAGUAUUGAUGGCCGGCAUAUUUUGAUACAAUGUCACAGAUUCCUUAGUUCUAUCUUCAUCUGUAUAUUCCCUGGACAGCAAAGGAUGUUCCGUGUUUUCUUCUGCACAGGUGUGAUGGACAAUUUCCUGAAUACCUGUAAGGCAUGUAAACUUGGAGUAUACUACAGCGAUGUCACAACAAUCUCUCCACCAAGUUCUGUUUCCAUGACGAUGAGGGAACAAUGUAUGUGGUGCUUAAACAAGAGCAGAACCCCCAGCACCAUAUUCAGAAUGUUCUAAGCAAACCCAUGGUAAUGAUGUUAGCAGAACAUCAAUUUGAAACUAAGGAACUGAAACAUUAUGGGGACAUUCUACAAAACACUUAUAUUGUAUGACCAUGACAACACAGUCCUGGACAGUCUUCUGGUACUUAUUCUUGGUAAAACCCUUGUGGUGAAAAACAUACAAACUAUCAAAUUCAACCCCAUUCAAACACAAAAUGUACAUGUUUCAUAUCAGUAUAUUAAUUACCUUCAUCUGUUGUAGCAGGUGUUUUGUCAAAUUUCGAUUAAAAACUUAUGUUGUCUCUCCAUAAUUUUAUAAUAUUGGGUAUCAGUGGCCAUAAUGGUGUGUUCUCUAGUUACACAUAUUUGUAAUGAUGGGGAGACUAAAAUGUUAACUUAAAAACAAAAUUUCCAGUGUACAUAACACCUGAACUACACCUUUUCUCCAUUCCAAAGAUUAUUUAAAUGCCCAAUCACAAAACCAAAACAACGUAUAUGCGUGUCUGCAAUCUAGUCGUAUGAUACCAUGAUACUGG